AACCUCGUACCCAUGGUAUUUUGCUUCCCACUCAGCGAAAUCCAUUUUUGCUGAGUGGGAAGCAAAAUGCCCUGGGUACAAGGUU